rnacentral:rRNA from 1 species
CGCCCGGGAGGCAGCAGUGGGGAAUAUUGGACAAUGGGCGCAAGCCUGAUCCAGCCAUGCCGCGUGAGUGAUGAAGGCCUUAGGGUUGUAAAGCUCUUUCGCCAGGGACGAUAAUGACGGUACCUGGAUAAGAAGCCCCGGCUAACUUCGUGCCAGCAGCCGCGGUAAU